rnacentral:rRNA from 1 species
CCUACGGGUGGCUGCAGUGGGGAAUAUUGGGCAAUGGGCGCAAGCCUGACCCAGCAACGCCGCGUGAAGGAAGACGGCCCUCUGGUUGUAAACCUCCUUUGACAGGGAAGUGUAGUACACUGUACCUGCUGCAUAACCCAUGCCUAACUACGUGCCAGCAGCCGGGGUAAUACGUAGGUGGUAAGCGUUGUCCGGAUUUAUUGGGUGUAAAGGGCGUGUAGCCGGGUUGACAAGUCAGAUGUGAAAUCCUGCGGCUUAACCGUAGAACUGCAUUUGAAACUGUUGAUCUUGAGUACUGGAGAGGCAGGCGGAAUUCCUAGUGUAGCGGUGAAAUGCGUAGAUAUUAGGAGGAACACCAGUGGCGAAGGCGGUCUGCUGGACAGCAACUGACGGUGAGGCGCGAAAGCGUGGGGAGCAAACAGGAUUAGAUACCCUAGUAGUC